CCUACGGGGGGCUGCAGUGAGGAAUAUUGGUCAAUGGACGAGAGUCUGAACCAGCCAAGUAGCGUGAAGGAUGACUGCCCUAUGGGUUGUAAACUUCUUUUAUAUGGGAAUAAAAUGUUCCACGUGUGGGAUUUUGUAUGUACCAUAUGAAUAAGGAUCGGCUAACUCCGUGCCAGCAGCCGCGGUAAUACGGAGGAUCCGAGCGUUAUCCGGAUUUAUUGGGUUUAAAGGGAGCGUAGGUGGAUUGUUAAGUCAGUUGUGAAAGUUUGCGGCUCAACCGUAAAAUUGCAGUUGAAACUGGCAGUCUUGAGUACAGUAGAGGUGGGCGGAAUUCGUGGUGUAGCGGUGAAAUGCUUAGAUAUCACGAAGAACUCCGAUUGCGAAGGCAGUUCACUGGACUGCAACUGACACUGAGGCUCGAAAGUGUGGGUAUCAAACAGGAGUAGAUACCCGAGUAGUC
rnacentral:rRNA from 1 species